GGCUGUGCGGGAUGUAUCAAGUUCGCAGUCACGUCCGUCAGAAGGGGACGUUAAAUCCGAUGCCUCGUGUAAAGAGAGUGCCACGCUCUUUGCACGUUAAGAACCCUUGCAACAACUCUUUAAGGGGUCCGUAGGUGGCCUGUUGCAAGGCAAAAUUUCUGUCCCUAUCCAAUAUACCCUCAUUUUCCAGUGGCAGUCCAAAUUUCCCCGACCAUCAUCCUAGAUGGCCUCUAUUACAACAACCUACCGCUUGUAUUUAUUGUGAACUUGUUCUCGUCCUGAAUAUGCAUGAAAUAUUUGCCACUGGACGUUAAGCAACCAACAAUCAAUCAAUCUUCCUCUAAAAGA
rnacentral:lncRNA from 1 species